rnacentral:lncRNA from 1 species
AAGUCAAAUUUUUUCGGUAGACUAAAUAAUCUGAUAAAUAAGAUAGGGAUCUAGAUUCUCUGCCCUGUAUUAUAAAUGUAGGAUGUGUGAACAUAAGAGAAAACACUUGGUAAUAUAGUAUUACAGCUGAAGUAAACAAAAACAAGCAUGGUAGAGAAUCCAUUUCCGUAAUAGUGUGAUCAUUUUUUAUCUCUUAAGUCUUAAUGAUGUAAUGCAGUAUUUUUUUUUUUUACUUAGUUUGCAAUACUCUUAUGGUGUUGAACUGAAUAAAAGUAUCACAACAGCAUUAAAAGAAAGUAAAAAGAUGAAAUGAAACAAAGAAAUCUGACCUUGAGUGCAUUAUGAUAAGCAAAGCCAGGAAGGUUAAUGGCCAUGGAUCUUAGUCCAUGAUUGAGAGUGGUAUAAUCUUUUUCUAAGGUCUCCAACAUGGGACCAACCUCAGAGCUCAGAAAAAUGUGCGUGACUAUUUUGAAAGUUAACUUCCUGAUCUCAGUCAAGAACUCAAUUGGUUCCUCAGAUUUGGACCAUUCAUCCAAUGAAGUUACUACGACAUCCUUGAUGUAUUCAUGGUACAUAGACAGUGCCUUGUGACCACUGAUUGGAGCCGCGGUCAGCUUGCGAAGGCGCUUGUGAUCCUCUGCAGAAUUGUCCAUCAAUGCUAACUUUCCUAAUAAUAGUUCUGUAAUGGAUUUUGGCCAGCCAGCCUUGAAUUGGGUAUCAUUUGUUAAGAUCUUUCUACAUAUUUCAGGUUCCGUAGCUAUGAUAGUUGGCUUUCCAAACAAAUAGGCCUUGGAAAUUCCUUUCUGACCAUAUCUGGUGUACCAUGCAAUAGAAAAGUUAGCAUGUAAGAAACUCUAAGCAUUAAACAUAAGGACAUAACAAAAUUUUGUCAUUUCACAUGCUAUCCAUAUGUCGGAACUUAGAGCUUAAACCCAUAACCAAACUGGGUGGGAGGCUAAAGUAUUUGAAUUCCCAAGGAUUUCAAAGAUGUCGCAAAAAUAUGUAGUGUGACAUGGAACAUAUGUGACCAUUUGGGCUAGCACGUAUGAGAUAAACCACCUGAACACCAGGUUGGAGUAAGAUUAUCCACUAUAUAUCUAGGUAGUAAAUCGAUUAUAUGAAUACGCAAUCAGCAUAGUAACAUCUGCCCUCUUAUAAAUGAAGUGCUUUCGCUCCAUAGCCCUUCUGCUAAAAGCUCUUUUGUUUGAGUCUACAACAAGUUCUGUUGAAAAAAUACAAGUGUUUCCUGGAAACAAGUGUGGAAGCACUAGCAAUAAAAAGUCACUGCUGUCCUGCCAAAUAUAUACUACUGAAAGUGCUUUUAGGCUUUAGCACUUCCGAAAAUUCACUACAUGCAUACAUGCGAAGAUCUAGAAUAUUUCAGAGAAUAGAGGAAGGACAAGGUAUUCCCAAUGAAAGGCCAUCCCAUAUCACCUGGAGGCAGACUAGACUGGUUUUCACCCAAGCUGCUCACAAAGUACCACUCAUUUGCUCUCUUUAGGACCAAAACUAGAACACCAAAGCCACCAACUGAAGCUGUGAAAACCAGACACCAGAAACCCAACUCGUCCAUCUUCCACUUUCCUGGGUUUUACAUGUGUUGAGAUCGAGUACAGACUACAGAGUACUUAUAGCAAACCCUCCAGUGAGUUGUUGGAGGGGAGUAGAGGACUCUCCUCCUAGCAUUUGUCCUUAUAACCUCUCAAGAUACCAAGCAUCUAAAAUGCAAUCAUUAACCAAUAGAAUUAUUUUAAAGGAAACAUUUGCACUAUAAUGGGGGCAAAGCUUCAUGAAAACAAGUAAUUUUUCAUGAACAUAAAUUGUACACCAACUCAUUUUAUAUUUUCAGUACCUGUUUUCUUGCUAAUUUCUUGUUAGGAGGCACGUGAAAAUGGUGGUGUCUGCAUUAAUAAAAAAAAAAAAGGUUUUUAUUCACCUAGUCAUUUUAAAUUCGAAGUAUAUGCAAAGCCAAUUAGUUAGGUGUAUAUGAAACUUCAAAGUUUGAUACCUCUUCCAUCACCCCUAAAGUAAGUUUUGCAGACAGCAGUCUAAUCUUUAUCGUUCCAUACAAGUUUAAGGGCAACAAAUUUACCAAAGAACACCACCAGUCAAAUACCACUAAACAGUUUCGAUUUUGCUAAUUGAUUUACAGGAAUGAUUCUUGCAUGCUGAGGCAAGUUCUGCAUCGUUGAAAUGGAGGGCUGAAGGGUGGAAGGUGGAAGACCAUUACCUACAUAUUGUUGGGAAAUUGAUCCCAUGCCUCACAAGUGCUAGAAAUUAGAUGGAAAGAAGAAAUAAACAAGCCAAGAAGAACACAAGAUUUAACGAGGUUCGGCCAAUAUCCUUGCCUACGUCCUCGGAGAGUAUCACCUUUACUAAUGAGAGAAUUACACAUGUACAAGAUUACACCACUCAAGUUUAUGCCCAACCUAAGCCCUUGUAUCCAAAAGGACACCCCUUGUACACCCUCUCUCAACCUAGAAGAUUACCCUACCCCAAGAGUUAUUCACACUCUUGAACACAACUCAACCUAUCUUCUAUACACGAAGACCCUUAGAGUUGCUCCCUUACUCUCCUUGCUUGCUUCAACACAAGCUUCACCUUUUUUAUAGCCUUUGAUAGAAGUCUCUAGAGUUACUCUAUCAAUGCUCAUUCAUGACCAUGAUCAAACCUUCCAUCUUCCCCAUUAUCUCCAUGUAACUCCCUAGGAAGACUAAGAGUUAUAUCAUGAAUUUAAUCUCAUACAUUUAUUCUCACUUAACUAUGCAUCAAUUCCAUGAAUAACUUAUCACCAUGAAUGCACAAACCAAUAACUCUAUGUAUUCAUGUCAUGCAUAACUUAUCACCAUGAAUGCACAAACCAAUAACUCUAUGCAUUCAUGCCAUGCAUAAUAUCUCCACCAAGGAGGGAUAAACACCAAACCCAACAAUGACAUAAUCUUCUUGGUUGAGAGAGGGUAUACAAGGGGUGUCCUUUUGGAUAUAAGGGCUUGGGUUGGGCAUAAACUUGAGUGGUGUAAUCUUGUACAUGUGUAAUUCUCUCAUUAGUGAAGGUGAUACUCUUUGAGGACGUGGGCAAGGAUAUUGGCCGAACCUCGUUAAAUCUUGUGUUCUUCAUGACUUGUUUAUUUCUUCUUUCCAUCUAAUUUCUAGCACUUGUGUGGCGUGGGAUCAAUUUCCCAACAGUGGUAUCAGAGCCUCGGCUCUUCGGUCGUGGGCUGUUUGUUAUGGCAAGUUCUAGUCUACGCAUCUCACAUUUCAAGGUGGAGCAGUUCGAUGGAAAAAAAAUUUCACUCUAUGGCAAACGAGGGUGAAGGACAUCCUAGUUCAAUAAGGUCUUGCAAAACCGUUGAAGGGAAAGGAUGCAAAGCCGAAGAAGAUAUCAUAUGAAGAUUGGGAGGAGUUGGAGGCCAGAUGUGUUAGCACUAUUAGGCUUUAUAUUGCUAACAAUAUUAUUAAUAAGGGUAAAAUCAAGGUUCUAAAAAACGCUAGGCGCUAGUCGGGCGGACAGCCAACGCCUAGCGCCCAGAGGAUUAAUCGGGCCGCCUAGGCGGUUUUUUAUUUUCUAUAACUUUUAUUUAUUUAAUUCAAAUAAUUAUAUAAAUAAAAUUUAUAAAAUCAUUAUUAUGUUCUAAAAUAGCAAAAUACUUCAAAAAUAGACAAAAUGUUCAACAACAAGGUUCUUAGAAAUUAUAAAAAAAACAAUUUGAAAGAAACAAAUUAGAUUCUUACUAGCCUAUGCCUCAAAUUCUUCUUCUCCAUAUCCCUCUUGCACUUCUUCUGUGUCGGUCUCAAACUCAAAGUCUAUUUCAUCUUCUUCCUNNNNNNNNNNNNNNNNNNNNANAAAAAAAGCAUAAUUGGGCUGCCCAGCCCGCCCAGGUGCCGCCUAGCUCGCCUAGGCGGCCGUUUUUUUGAGCUGGCGCCCAGCUUCGACGAUUUGUGCAAAAUCGGAACGGUCCCCUGCCGCCCAGCGCCUAGGCGCCGCCUAGGCGGCCCUGGGCGGCGUUUUUUAGAACUAUGGGUAAAAUACUGUAUAGUUCUUAUGGUUUGAAGUCGACAUCUGUUUAGUCCUUAUGGUUUUAUUUUAAUCUGAAUAGUCCUUAAAGUCACGAUUUUUCAUGAAUUGAAAUUUGUUUAGUCCUUGUGGUUUGAAGUUGACAUCUGUUUAGUCCUUCUGGUUUUAUUUUAAUCGGAAUAGUCCUUAAAGUCACAAUUUUUCAUCAAAAUAGUCCUUAUGGUUUAUUUUAAUAUGAAUAGUCAUUAAAGUCAUGAUUUUUCAUCUAAAUAGUCAUUCCGAUAAUUUUCUAAGUUAAAGGCCAUAAGGACUAUUUGGAUGAAAAAUCAUGACUUUAAGGACUAUUCAGAUUAAAAUAAAACCAUAAGGAAUAUUUGGAUGAAAAAUUGUGACUUUAAGGAUUAUUCAGAUUAAAAUAAAACCAUAAGGACUAUACAGAUGUUGACUUUAAACCACAAAGACUAUAAUAUUUUACCCAUUUUUCAUCCAAAUAAUCCUUCCAACCAUUUUCUUAGUUAAAGGCUACGUCAGCAAUUUAAUUGAGAAAAUUGACGGAGGGACUAUUUGGAUAAAAAAUCGUGACUUUAAAGACUAUUCAAAUUAAAAUAAAACUAGAAGGACUAAACAAAUGUCGACUUCAAACCACAAAGACUAAACAAAUUUCAAUUCUAUUAAUAAUGUUAAUGAUGUAGAUUCGGCAUCGGAGCUUUGGGAAAAAUUGGAGAAGCUUUAUCUUGGGAAAGGCUUGCAGACGAAGUUGAAUCUAAAGUGAGAUCUCUACAAGCUCAAGAUGGGAGAAGGUGCGAGUCUCAUGGAGCACAUGAGCGUGUUCAGCGGAUUGAUUAAUCAACUAGCAAAAGUUGAUGUAAAGAUUGAGGAAAAAGAUCAAGCCCUUCUACUUCUUACCUCGCUUCCCGAUUCGUAUGAGAAUAUCAUCACUACAAUCUUGUAUGGUAAGGACACAUUGAAGAUGGAGGAGGUGGAAUCAACUCUCUUGUCUCACGAGAAGCGGAGGAAAGCCGAUGAUUCCCAGAGUUCCGUCUUUGUUGCUCAUGAUCAGAAUCAAAGGGGAAAGUCAACUGCCAAAGGAUAUAAAGAACAUAGCGGGUCUAAAUCCAGGGGCAAAGGAAAGGGCAAGCAAUGCUACAAGUGCAAGGAGUGGGGGCACAUAAGGCCAGAUUGUCUGUUGUUGAAAGAGAAGGAUGAUAAGGGCUCAGAUUGCUUCAUGACUGGUAUAGCACAGACUUCUUAUGAUUUUGGAGAAUUUCUCACGGUCUCCAAAGGUAAAUACACUUGUUCUCAACGUGAUCGGAUAUUGGAUACUGGUUCCUCUAAUCAUUUUUGCUCCAAAAGAGAAUAUUUUGAUAUGUUCCAAGAAGUCCAGGGAUUUGUGACUUGGGGUGAUGGAACAAGGCGUCGUGUCAUGGGUGUUGGAACGUUGAAGGUCAAAAUGUUUGAUGGGGUAGUUCGCUCUUUGGGUGAUGUGGUGUAUGUCCCAAAGUUUAUGAGAAAUUUAAUAUCACUGAGCCAGUUAAACUCUAAAGGUUGCAGGGUUUCUUCAGCAGGGGGAGUUAUGAAAGUAUACGUGGCUGCAUGGUCCUGAUGAAAGGAGAAAAGUGUGGAAGUAUGUUCCGUCUGAUAGGAAAAACUCAGACCUCAAAGGUUAUUGGGAAACAGUGUGCACAAGAAUCCAGGUACCUGAGGCAGGUCUCAUUUGCGGGUGUAGCAGAGACGGCAGACACAAGUUUCCAAGUUUUAGAUGAUGGUGAGAAGGUAAAUCUUGCUAGGAAAGAGGUGAAGACGAGGUCGAUCCCUCUUCAGAGUCAACAAGUGAUCGUUGUCUCGGUGCAGUUACACAUGGUUUUAGCUAAUUAAAUCAGGGAGAGUAUGGACCAUAUGCAAUUAACUCUGAUUGAUUAUGUGUAACUGACGCAAAUACAAGGCUAAUGGAAUGCUUAUGGGUAUAACAAGUUGUGUCUCGAUUCGAGAUGACUUCAAGCGUUGAAGUGGUGAUGCGGAGCUCUCCACCAAUGUCGGGAGGGGGAGGAUUGUUGGUUUGGGGUUUGGGUUGUUUUAGUCCCUUCCAUGAUGGAGAUAUUAUGCAUGGNNNNNNNNNNNNNNNNNNNNNNNNNNNNNNNNNNNNNNNNNNNNNNNNNNNNNNNNNNNNNNNNNNNNNNNNNNNNNNNNNNNNNNNNNNNNNNNNNNNNNNNNNNNNNNNNNNNNNNNNNNNNNNNNNNNNNNNNNNNNNNNNNNNNNNNNNNNNNNNNNNNNNNNNNNNNNNNNNNNNNNNNNNNNNNNNNNNNNNNNNNNNGCAACUCUAAGGGUCUUCGUGUAUAGAAGAUAGGUUGAGUUGUGUUCAAGAGUGCGAAUAACUCUUGGGGUAGGGUAAUCUUCUAGGUUGAGAGAGGGUGUACAAGGGGUGUCCUUUUGGAUACAAGGGCUUAGGUUGGGCAUAAACUUGAGUGGUGUAAUCUUGUACAUGUGUAAUUCUCUCAUUAGUAAAGGUGAUACUCUCCGAGGACGUAGGCAAGGAUAUUGGCCGAACCUCGUUAAAUCUUGUGUUCUUCUUGGCUUGUUUAUUUCUUCUUUCCAUCUAAUUUCUAGCACUUGUGAGGCAUGGGAUCAAUUUCCCAACACAUAUUUCCUUUCCCCUACGCAUGUUUAAUAAAACAUAUAUUCAGUCAGUCUUUGAUAUAAGAAAAACACUGAGGGGGUCUCAUUUGGUCCUCUAAGGCCAGCAGCGGCACUGAUUUAACGAGAAUAAACAAGAACUCAGCGUACGUACACCUGCAUCUGCUAUUGGAAAAUGACAAUGUGACUAAUUAUAUGAACAACUGAGGUUGCCUUACUGGAAUUACCUUUUAAAUUUCUGUAUGAUGGAAAUAGAAAAUGGAAUGUAGCAACAGAAAGCCAACCAUGCAUACUAGUAGUUGUUUGUUUAAUGGUGGUUACAUUGCUAUAAAACUAUAAUCAUACUGAAAGAAUUAACUGAAUCUCAGAUGUUUAAGAAUCUUGUUUGACAAGUUCUUGUCAAAAAUAUUAUUACAAAACUGCAGGUUUCAAGUCAAAUGUGUUUUUCCCUCAUUUCCCUUUCAAUGUUUCAAGUGAUCUAUGUAUCAUCUCUCUAUCUCUUGCCUGCAUUGCUUAUCUUCGACUAUGCUUGGUACUUGAGAUUUAGCUUUAACAAAACAAGGGGGGACUGUACUUGAAGAAGUCUACCACCAACAAUUUAUUCAAAGGUCUAUGUCUACUACUAUUCAGACAAACACCGAUCAAGGGAUGCAAUAAGGACAAUACUACAUGUUUAUUAUACAAAUAUUAGAGAAUUUAUAUAGAUGAAGAUGUUGAUGGAAGCUUCUUAAUAUUUGCAAGACAAUUGUCUUCGGGUCUUGUAUGAGGUAAGUACCUCAAUUCACAUCCCGGAUUAAGUCGUUCCAGCCUGCACUCAAGAAGUAAACUGUCAAAGACUGUAUUGUUUAUGGUUCAUCUGAUUCCAUUUUUAGUGUCAUACAGAGUAAAAUAUUUGGAUUUAAAUCAGGCUAGGAUUUUGAAUGUGAUGAUUCAACUUAAAAUGGCGACCUUUGAAAAGCAAGGGAACUUACUCAUAAUUCAGGAGAAAAUAGUGAAGAAAUGUAGUAAUUUCAAGCUUGGUCAAAUCACUUCCAGGGCAUUGCCUACUUCCUAUUCCAAAGGGAAUGUAAGUCCCUGCCUUCACUUUACUUUCCUACAAGGAACACAGGAAAAAAAAAGACUAAGACUUGUUUAACUUGUGAGAUGAACAAUUUUGCUCAAUCAUACUGUAAUGCAUAAAUUGAUGAAUACACUAAACAAAGAGAUCUAAUUCUGUGUGUUAUCUUGCUUACAUUCCAUCUUGAGGGAUUGAACUCCUUUGGAUCUUGAUAGAUUUCUGGGUUCAAAUGAAUUCCUCUGAACCACAUCAUCACUUUCCAUCCCUUUGGUAUUGUGUAACCUUGAACACAUAACAUUUUCUAGUAAGUUUAAUCACAAGAAACUGAUAUAACAAUAAAUAGAUAAUAUAGAGAGAUUAAUUGCUUACCAGAGAUGUUAACAUCAGCAGUAGCCUCCCGGUAAGUAUACAGCGAGAUAUUAACCACGCGCAUUGUUUCAUCAAUUACCUUUUCACCAAGCAUUGCUACUUGUUAGUUGUUGAAGUUGAAAUCAGAGGCACAUGCUUAAGAUCAGGAAUUCAGGAUGCUAAAAAUUUGGCUUACCUUAGAAAGAUAUUCCAUCUGUUUAGUCUCUUUGAAGCUCAAUCCAUUUUCUGGUGAUAGACUUUUAAGAAUCUCCUCUUGCUCUGCCUGAAAGGUAAGAUUACAUCAACACUGAACAAAGUCUCGUCGAUAAAUUCUGAAAGACAACUGCGGUUCACAACUGGAAGGAAGAAUAGCAACUGUAGAGAAAUUUAUAGCACACUUCAAAUUAACUUGGUUUCCAUGCAAUUGGUCGCCACACUAACAAUUUCUUUACAGACAGAAAACCAGUACUUAAUACCACACUCGCGUUUGAAUGCGCGCAUCUAAUUACCAGUACGAAAUAGGCACCAACCCACCUUGGCUUUUUGGUAGAAUUCUGGAUUUUGAUGUAAAAAGAGAGUUGCCCACAUUGUGGCAUGGGCUGAAGAUUCAUGACCAGCAUUUAAGUACAUGAGGAUUAUGUCUAUGAUCUCCUCAUCAUAUAGUUUUCUACCAGUCUCAUCUUCGGCUUCCAGUAAUAAAUCCAGCAAAUCUCUUUUUUCCCCUGAUAGACUACUCUCCUUUCUUUCCCUUCUUCGAUCAACAAUCACUUGAAGAGUCUUAACCAACCUUUUCCGAGCCUGAUGCAUGCAAGAAUAUCAAUAAAUCAAGUCAAAUUUUUUCGGCAGACUAAAUAAUCAGAUACAUAAGAUAGGGAUCUAGAUUCUCUGCCCUGUAUUAUAAAUGUAGGAUCUGUGAACAUAAGAGAAAAUUGGUAAUAUAGUAUUACAGCUGAAGUAAACAAAAACAAGCAUGGUAGAGAAUCCAUGGGAGCCAUUCUAGUGAGGACCCUUAAGUUGAGGACUUGGUGAAGACUUUUCGGUUUAUCCCACCUUUCGAUCUUAUAUUUACAUCUUGACCGUUCAGUUUAUAGGUAUUUAUGAGUAGAUCAUUUAUUUAAAUUUUCAGUUAUAUUAAAAAUUGUUAAGACAUUCAUAAGUGUGAUUUAUCAAUUAUGAACUUGAACGGUUCAUAUUUGACAGAUUUGGUUCGUCUAGUAAUUUGAUCUAGUUUGUUAUCUUAACGAACACCAAUUUGGGUGAAAAUUUGUAGAAAUGAUCUAACUCAUAUAAACCUAAAAACUGAAAGGAUAAGAUGUCAAAACGUGAUCGAAAAUUGGGUCUUUUAAACCAUAAACCGAAAAGUCCUCACCAAAUCCUCAACUUAAAGGUCCUCACUAG